UACGUAGGGGGCAAGCGUUGUCCGGAAUCAUUGGGCGUAAAGAGCGUGUAGGCGGCUCAAUAAGUCUGCUGUGAAAGUCCAGGGCUCAACCCUGGAAGGCCGGUGGAAACUGUCGGGCUAGAGUCCGGAAGAGGCGAGUGGAAUUCCCGGUGUAGCGGUGAAAUGCGCAGAUAUCGGGAGGAACACCAAUGGCGAAGGCAGCUCGCUGGGACGGUACUGACGCUGAGACGCGAAAGCGUGGGGAGCAAACAGG
rnacentral:rRNA from 1 species